CUGGUUGGAGCUCAAACAUAAAUGCUUAGAGCAGGGGUCAUCAGUGUGCCCUCAGAUGUUGCUGGACCAAUCCAGUCAUCCUUUACCACUGACCAUGUAGUAGUGCAACAAUCUGGAGGGUCCCAUGUUUGUUUUCUCUGGCUCAAGAGCCUAGUGCUGUUAAAAUAAGCCAUUUAGGAGUUGUUCUACUGAAGCAAGCUAGGCUACUUUGUAUAGUAAACAAUUCCAUUUAGCUUUAUCAGCUUUUAGAGAAUUUUGAGGUCAGCACAGCAACUGUCUAAACUGGAUUGUGAGGAUGAAUGCAUUAUUGAAAAUGUAUCCUGUGACAGCAAUGGAUUACACAGCUGUGUUUUAGUAUGGCUCAUAGAGGUGAGUGUAAUUGAUAGACCUGUGCAACAAAGGCACCAGGGGAUGAGCACCAAGGAGAGGAAGUCCAUUGCUGCUGCAGGAGGAGGAAGGAGGCCAGCUCACUUCUCAAAGAUUUAAAGAGCGGCCUGAUUUUCUCAUGAGUGCCAACAUAUUACUGCAUAGGAUUAUGGGGCCAGCCAUCAUUGUAAAUGCAACCUUGGGGGAGGUGAAGAAUGUCACAGGGCUUGUGAAACUUCCUCAUGCCCAUCCUGCUUAUUCACUGAAAACCUACGUAAUUAAUCGAUCCAAUCUGCCAUAGUUGGCUGCCUCUUUGUUAAUUAUAAACAAGGUACCCACCAAGCCGGAUAGAUGACUAAUAACAUGUGAUGUAAUGCUAGUUUUCAUGACAUCGUUAAGGUGUGCUUAGAACAGAAUUGGCUACAUCUGGCAUCUACCUGCUUUUUGGAUGUGGAGAGCAAAUAUGACCACCUCCAUGACUGUAGCUAGAUAUAUCUGUCUUUGCUCUGAAUACUAUCACUACAACAUAGUUAUUGAUUAGCCUUUGUCAAUCAAGAAUUAUAGCCAGAGCAAGCCUCAUGCCUAUUGUAUACCUUGAAAGAUACAUCCAUGUAUCUUCCAUUUUAUUUCCAAAUAAAAUGGAAAUAAGACUGUUCCAUAACUGCCAAAUAAUUGGGCAUGGGUAGCAUUCAGCUGACAGCUGCAAAACGUUGUUACAUAUUAUUAUUU